UUCUGUUGACGUUGAUUUGUCUUCAUCUUGACUUGAUUCUUAUUUUAAAUUGAUCUGAAUCACUUUAAUUAAACAUUGAUGAUUUUUUAAUUUAUUUAUAUCGAUUUAAUCCUAAACUAUUUUUUGUUCAACUUAGACACCUUAAUUUUAAAUUUUCAAAAUAAUAUAAAUCCAAUUUAAUGAUUUGAACUUAAAAUCGAAAUUUAAAUUUGAGAUAAAUUUAUUUAGAUAGAGUUUAA
rnacentral:lncRNA from 1 species